rnacentral:rRNA from 1 species
UACGUAGGCAGCAAGCGUUGUUCGGAAUUACUGGGCGUAAAGAGUGUGUAGGCGGUGCUCUAAGUUCGGUGUGAAAUCUCCCGGCUUAACUGGGAGGGUGCGCCGGAAACUGGAGUGCUCGAGCGUGGGAGAGGAAAGCGGAAGUUCCUGGUGUAGCGGUGAAAUGCGUAGAGAUCGAGGAAGAACAGCCGGUAGGCGAAGGCGCUCUGCUAAGCCGCAACUGACGACUGAAGGG